UGUUAAAAAAAUUAUCAAUUUCUAUUGUUAAAAAAUUAGCGUGGUUGACAAACCGACUAAAAAGUUGCAUAACGUGUAGCUCAUGUUGACAUAUAUGGAUCAAGCUUUAAUCGUAAAAAUAGAUGAAAUUUUAACA
rfam:Gossypium raimondii Chr09_contig_15, whole genome shotgun sequence.